rnacentral:rRNA from 1 species
CGGCCCAGAUUCCUACGGGAGGCAGCAGUGGGAAUUUUGGACAAUGGGCGAAAGCCUGAUCCAGCCAUUCCGCGUGCAGGAUGAAGGCCCUCGGGUUGUAAACUGCUUUUGUACAGAACGAAAAGGUCCUGGUUAAUACCUGGGGCUCAUGACGGUACUGUAAGAAUAAGCACCGGCUAACUACGUGCCAGCAGCCGCGGUAAUACGUAGGGUGCAAGCGUUAAUCGGAAUUACUGGGCGUAAAGCGUGCGCAGGCGGUUUUGUAAGACAGAGGUGAAAUCCCCGGGCUCAACCUGGGAACUGCCUUUGUGACUGCAAGGCUAGAGUGCGGCAGAGGGGGAUGGAAUUCCGCGUGUAGCAGUGAAAUGCGUAGAUAUGCGGAGGAACACCGAUGGCGAAGGCAAUCCCCUGGGCCUGCACUGACGCUCAUGCACGAAAGCGUGGGGAGCAAACAGGAUUAGAUACCCUGGUAGUCCACGCCCUAAACGAUGUCAACUGGUUGUUGGGUCUUCAUUGACUCAGUAACGAAGCUAACGCGUGAAGUUGACCGCCUGGGGAGUACGGCCGCAAGGUUAAAACUCAAAGGAAUUGACGGGGACCCGCACAAGCGGUGGAUGAUGUGGUUUAAUUCGAUGCAACGCGAAAAACCUUACCCACCUUUGACAUGUACGGAAGUUUCUAGAGAUAGAUUCGUGCUCGAAAGAGAGCCGUAACACAGGUGCUGCAUGGCUGUCGUCAGCUCGUGUCGUGAGAUGUUGGGUUAAGUCCCGCAACGAGCGCAACCCUUGUCAUUAGUUGCUACAUUCAGUUGGGCACUCUAAUGAGACUGCCGGUGACAAACCGGAGGAAGGUGGGGAUGACGUCAAGUCCUCAUGGCCCUUAUAGGUGGGGCUACACACGUCAUACAAUGGCUGGUACAGAGGGUUGCCAACCCGCGAGGGGGAGCUAAUCCCAUAAAGCCAGUCGUAGUCCGGAUCGCAGUCUGCAACUCGACUGCGUGAAGUCGGAAUCGCUAGUAAUCGCGGAUCAGAAUGUCGCGGUGAAUACGUUCCCGGGUCUUGUACACACCGCCCGUCACACCAUGGGAGCGGGUUCUGCCAGAAGUGGUUAGCCUAACCGUAAGGAGGGCGAUCACCACGG